rnacentral:lncRNA from 1 species
GCCCGCCCAUUUUGUCUCGCCCUAAAUGGAAUGGCUCUCUUAAUUAUGCUGCGCCCCGACCCGAGUCCCCACGUCCGCUCUUCUCCGCCCGUAACCCAAGAAGUUGGCUUUGCCAACACAACAUUAGGGCCGUCCCCUUCAUUCUAUGCUGACCCCGGCCUGGGGCUGGCUUUUUGGGAAGCCCAUUCCCACCGCGCUCACGGCCCGGCUGGCCUGCCAACGGUAGUGGGAAUUCCCCUAUUCCCUGGUCAAAGACUUGGUCGGAUGCGGGAUCUACUCCACGAGGAGCGGUACGGACGUAGAUGAUAUCAUCACGACCUCUCUUUUCGUACCGCUAGGGAUGUUUAACGCCACUUCGCCAAUUGGCGUUACCUGCGCUUUCGUGUCUCUCAGUGUGGUCAGCACUGGGUGUGUCCGAGUAGCGAGGCUUACAACCAUUCGCAUUAGUUCAUCCAAAGUUCCUUACCCUUAUGCACGAAUUAUUGAAUAAGCCAUCUUCCUAUCAAGGUUAAGGAGUCAACUGAGCAUCUCAGCGGCGGGAUUUAAUACCCGAAUCGAAUC